rnacentral:rRNA from 1 species
CCUACGGGAGGCAGCAGUGAGGAAUAUUGGACAAUGGGCGCAAGCCUGAUCCAGCCAUGCCGCGUGCAGGAAGAAGCAUCUAUGGUGUGUAAACUGCUUUUGUACAGGAAGAAGCACUCCCUCGUGAGGGAGCUUGACGGUACUGUAAGAAUAAGGACCGGCUAACUCCGUGCCAGCAGCCGCGGUAAUACGGAGGGUCCGAGCGUUAUCCGGAAUCAUUGGGUUUAAAGGGUCCGUAGGCGGUUUAAUAAGUCAGUGGUGAAAUCUGGUCGCUCAACGAUCAAACGGCCAUUGAUACUGUUAGACUUGAAUUAUAAGGAAGUAACUAGAAUAUGUAGUGUAGCGGUGAAAUGCUUAGAUAUUACAUGGAAUACCAAUUGCGAAGGCAGGUUACUACUUAUGGAUUGACGCUGAUGGACGAAAGCGUGGGGAGCGAACAGGAUUAGAUACCCUGGUAGUCCACGCCGUAAACGAUGGAUACUAGCUGUUCGGAGCAAUCUGAGUGGCUAAGCGAAAGUGAUAAGUAUCCCACCUGGGGAGUACGUUCGCAAGAAUGAAACUUAAAGGAAUUGACCGGNNGAGAGNGACGAGACGACGACGAGGAGGAGG